GAUGAAGAACGUAGCGAAAUGCGAUACGUAAUGUGAAUUGCAGAAUUCAGUGAAUCAUCGAAUCUUUGAACGCAUAUUGCGCUCUCUGGUAUUCCGGAGAGCAUGCCUGUCCGAGCGUCAUUGCUGCCCUCAAGCACGGCUUGUGUGUUGGGCCUCCGUCCUCCUCCCGGGGGACGGGCCCGAAAGGCAGCGGCGGCACCGCGUCCGGUCCUCGAGCGUAUGGGGCUUCGUCACCCGCUCUUGUAGGCCCGGCCGGCGCUUGCCGACACAUCAAUCUUUUUUCCAGGUUGACCUCGGAUCAGGUAGGGAUACCCGCUGAACUUAAGCAUAUCAAUAAGCGGAGGA
rnacentral:misc_RNA from 1 species